UACGGGGGGGGCAAGCGUUGUUCGGAAUUACUGGGCGUAAAGGGCUCGUAGGCGGCCAACUAAGUCAGACGUGAAAUCCCUCGGCUUAACCGGGGAACUGCAUCUGAUACUGGAUGGCUUGAGUUCGGGAGAGGGAUGCGGAAUUCCAGGUGUAGCGGUGAAAUGCGUAGAUAUCUGGAGGAACACCGGUGGCGAAGGCGGCAUCCUGGGCCGACACUGACGCUGAGGAACGAAAGCCAGGGGAGCAAACGGG
rnacentral:rRNA from 1 species